rnacentral:snRNA from 1 species
UCCCUCGCGGGUGCACCGCCG